rnacentral:misc_RNA from 1 species
GCACCUGAUUCCGAGGCAU